GUCUUUUUGAAAUAAUUUAAAGUCUAAUCUGCCCACUGAUAAAAAAUUAAAGGGCUGCAGUAUAAUGACUGUACAAAGGUAGCAUAAUCAGUAGUUUUUUAAUUGAAAACUUGUAUGAAAGAUUUGAUGAAAUAUAGACUGUCUCUAAUUUAUAGAUUGAAUUUUAUUUUUUAGUAAAAAAGCUAAAAUAAAUUUAAAAGACGAGAAGACCCUAUAGAGUUUUAUAUUUAAUUUUAUUUUAAAAUUAUAUAAAAAUUAAUAUUAAAAAUAAAAUUAAAUAUUAUAUUGGGGUGAUAGAAAAAUUAAAUUAACUUUUUUUAAAAAUUAAACAUAAAUAAAUGAUUAUAUGAUCCAUAAAUAAUGAUUAUAAGAAAAAAUUACCUUAGGGAUAACAGCGUAAUAUUUUUUUUUAGUUCAAAUAAAAAAAAAAGUUUGCGACCUCGAUGUUGGAUUAAGAUAAAAUUUAAAUGCAAAAGUUUAAAAAUUUUGAUCUGUUCGAUCAUUAAAAUCUUACA
rnacentral:rRNA from 1 species